UUUGCUGUUACUGGUUUCGAAUUCAGGUAUGUUAGCAGCGAAGUUAUAACGAUCAGGUUGAGUUCUGGGCCUAAUAUCUGUGCUGUUGCUCUGCUAUGAAAUAUUAGGGGUUGGAGAUUGAAGGGGAGUUGCCUGAGAAAAAGACUUGUUAUGAAGGAGUAUUUUAUAAUUACUUUAGCAUAGGAAUGGAUGCUCAGGUGGCUUACGGCUUUCAUCAUUUACGUAAUGAGAAACCUUACCUGGCACAAGGACCAAUUUCUAAUAAGGUCUGGUUUGUUAUCUUAUUAUGUGAAAAGUCUUGUGAUUACGGACUAUUACCAAUGAUUUUUUAGAACUAAAAUUGUUAUUUGGAUAUUUGUAUCUUGAUGUAAAUGUACCCUACUGGAAAAAAGGCACA